rnacentral:lncRNA from 1 species
UUAUUGGCAUCCUCCCACGAGCUCCUACCAGGCCAGUGCCAGAAACACUCAUCUACUCCCUUAUGGAAGAUCACUGAGUCAUGAGAUCUGUGGUUUGUCUGAUUCUCCACUUCCGGAAGCCAGCCAAGGCUAACCGACCUGGGAUUCUGAGAGACUGUCCAGAGACGUUGGAGGUCUGGAGGAGGAGGACUCCCUCUUUUACUUCAUUCAGUUGUCCCCCACAUCCUCAGCAGUAGAAGUGUUUCUUGCCAUUUUAGCUUUCAGAGGCCAGUCUCAUUUUGUCCAGCAAUGACAGCAACAGCAAAACCUUCCUUUGGCCCUCAUUCACAAUACAGUGCUCUGGGAGGAGGCGGCUGACCAGCUGACUGCAGUGAUGGAGAAAGGAGUGUUCCACAGGACUCUGAUUCAGCAGGGACCUCCAGAGCUUCUGACUCAUGGGGGUGUGCUCCCAAGGGACAUAGGUGUGUCUUCAAGUGCCAAGAAUUAAUGGGAACUGGCCUCUGCACUUGGCCUUGUGAGAACAGCCUAAGCCAAGGGAGGGGAGAUUCUAAAAGAAAUGACUGUAAUUAAAGGUAGAAAAAAG